UGGAUAGCAAGUGUCAUGGCCGCUUUACUAACCUUCAAGUGCCGAUAAUUGCUUCCUUAUUGAGGGAUUGAAUUUGAAGCGUCAGGUCAGAAAUCUCCCGGAGAAGAGAUCGCGUCCGCGAGCCCGGCGCUGCUGCUACGAAGCCAAAGCUGCUCUUGACAAGGACUCCGGCGGUUCUUCCGGCAAGGACCUGUCAACGGAACCGCUGGUCAGAAAAGCCCGAUGUCGGUGCCAGAAAUCGUCUUGGAGCCGGAGAGGAGAUCGGGAGGGAGAGGAGAAGAGAGGAUUUGAUUAUAGGUCAACGACUCCAGAGGUGACUCGGAUUCAUUGUGUAUAUAGGCGCACAAACUUGGUGGCAAUUCACAUCCAAUCCAACAUUCAAUUCACUGCACAAAGCCAUGGGGUGCGGUUUUUCCGUAGGAGAUGGGAAGACAAAGGAAGGGAGAACAGAGGCUCAAGCUGCCCGUAAAACCAAGAAGCAGGCUCAGCGACCACGUGCCCACCGUCGCCGACAACCACGUUACGGGUAUCAAACUGGAAGCGACGGUGGCAUGAUCUUCAUGACGGGUGCUGCAGCUUCUGGGAUGUACGGGGGUGGUGGCGGUUGCGGCGGAGGAGGAGGUUGUGGUGGAGGCGGUGGUUGCGGUGGGGGAGGAGGUUGCGGGGGCGGUGGAUGUUGAUGCGUACAUGGAUAAUAACAUCUGCACCUUUUAAUUAAUGAGUUGGUAGUAUUCUAUAAUUGUUUUCAAUUUUUCCUUUUUUGGUGAGUGAAAAA